GACAUCGGUUACUGGUUCAAGGGUAGCACAAAUCGGAAAGGAUACCUGUCAGGUAUGCAUGUUUGAUACUAUUAAGUGUAAUACUGAAAUGCUGAGCUGUAGAAAAUAUAUGAUAUGGAUUUAAUGUCUAAAACAGAGUUUUGUGAGCUCCAUGAAGCGGAGUACAUGGAGGUCCUCCUGCGUAUCUCGGUCCGUUGGCUAAGCCUUGAACGUUGUGUGACCAGGAUCCUGAGGCUGUAUGAACCUCUGGCCAGCUACUACAAAUCUGCUAAUGAAAAUCAGGCCAGGUUCAAGAGACUUGUGCAGACAUUCACUGACCCCAUGACAGAAGUGUACCUGCUGUUCUUCCAAGCCACCGUACCAACUUUCACUUCUUUCAACUUGCUGCUUCAGAGAGAGCAGUCAUCAAUAUUUUUGUUACAUGAUGAGAUGGUGAAAUUCGCACGCAAGCUAUGUUCCAAGUUUAUGGUUCCAGCAGCUCUGCAGUGCCAUGAGGAGCCUUGUGA